rnacentral:tRNA from 1 species
GGAAUUUAGCUCAGCGGUAGAGCGCUUGCCUAGUAAGCACAAGGCCCUGGGUUCAGUCCCCAGCUCCG